UCAAAAUGUGGUUCAAAUAAUCACUGACAAUGCAUCUGUUUGCAAAUCAGCAGGUAGGCUUAUAGAGGCUGAGUAUCCCACUAUUUUUUGGACGCCAUGUGUUGUGCAUACGCUUAAUCUUGCAUUAAAGAACAUAUGUGCAGCAAAGAACACAGAGGCAAAUGAGAUUGUGUAUGAUGAAUGCCAUUGGAUAGAGGAGGUUAAGGAUGAUGCUGCUUUUAUUAGAACAUUUAUCAUGCGUCAUUCUAUGCGAUUGGCAAUUUUUAAUGAAUUUGUGCCAUUAAAAUUACUUGCCAUAGCUGACACUCGCUUUGCAUCCACCAUUGUUAUGCUCAAAAGACUCAAGCUCAUUAAAACUUCACUUCGUACAAUGGUGAUAAGUGAAGCAUGGAAUGCUUAUAAGGAAGAUGAUGUUGGAAAGGCAGCCACAGUGAAAAAUUUGAUCCUUAAUGACUCUUGGUGGGAUAAGGUGGAUUAUAUACUUUCUUUCACUGGACCGAUUUAUGACAUGCUUCGGAUGGCUGACACAAAUAAGCCUAUACUUCAUUUAAUUUAUGAAAUGUGGGAUUCAAUGAUAGAAUAAGUGAAGGAGUCCAUCUACAAGCAUGAGAAUAAGGAGCUUUCUGAGUAUUCAGCUUUCUUUGAUGUUGUUUAUAGGAUCAUUAUUGAUCGAUGGACAAAAAGUUGCACUCCCCUUCAUUGUCUUGCACAUUCAUUGAAUCCUAGGUAUUAUACACCCCAAUGGCUUGAAGGUGCUCCCAAUAGAAUUCCGCCUCAUUUAGAUAAUGAAAUAUCAUCUGAGAGAGUAAAGUGCCUUUAUAGGUACUUUACUGAUCCUGAGGAGAGAAAGGCGGUCUUUCAAGAGUUCCCAAAAUUUGUUGGAAGUUUAGACUUCUAUUCAUCAUUUGAUUGCUUGCAAGAUAGGUGGAAUUUAGAACCUAAAGGGUGGUGGUUAAAUUAUGGUUCUUUCACCCCUAUUCUUCAGAGGCUUGCAUUGAAACUUCUAGGCCAACCGUGCUCUUCCUCUUGUUGUGAAAGAAAUUGGAGCACUUACUCCUUUAUCCACUCAUUGAAGAGAAACAAGAUCACUCCUAAAAGAGCUGAAGACUUAGUUUUUGUGCAUACUAAUCUUCGUCUCUUGUCAAGGAAGAGUGAAAAGUAUCGCAUUGGGCAAAGUAGAAUGUGGAAUAUUGGUGGGGACACUAUGGAGCCAUUUG